AGAGAGGACAUUGGGGUGCUCGGUCCCCAAACAUGCAAACUAAACACUGACAGCCUGGGCAGACCUACUGCACUGGGAGGAUUUGAUCCCCCUUUUCCUUUGCAAAGAAGGCACGAACAGCCCUUGCCUGCUCCCACGCUCACAGAGAUGCUUUCCAAGAGCUCUGCUUCCCCCGCAGCCCGCGUGGGAUGGAGCGGGGAGAGGGGAAAUGCUUCCAGCAUCCACGUGGCAGCUCCGAGCUGCUCGGGGUCCCCACUGUGCCCAGCAGGACCUCCAACACCACUCUCAGCUAAAGAGGUGCUGUCCCAGGAGAUGGGGAGGCCCCUAGAAAUACCUAAUGAAAAACAGGAUCACCCCAUCUCACCAAAAAUCACUGAUUAGCCACCCUUUGGAGGCAGUUUGACUCAGAUGCCCUCUUAAGACAGCACCAAUAGGAUUAAUUGCUGGCAGUUGUCAGCAUGCAGAGGGCAGCUCUUAUUGCAUCCAGGUGUCUGGAAGGCAACAAGUGCUCUGGGCAUCACCUGCAUGGCUGGCUGGAGGGGGGGGGACCUCCCCCAAGCCCCCAAUUCCCCUCCCCUGGGAGGGUCGGGGCCCAGGCAGGAAUCGCUGCACAGAGAUGGGCAGCAGCGGGUGAGCUGAGCCCCGAGCCUUGUGCCCCUGGGAAGGACAGGCUUUUCCAUCCUUCAUCGGGUGUUGGGUGUCAGCCUGGUGUGAUUCCUUGGCACGGCUCGCCCCGGCCUGUUUCAGGAGAUAGCAGUCAGCAAGGCACGUGGAAAACACAAGCCGCUGCCCCACGUGGCGCAGCGAUGUGCACGGGAUGCGGGGCUCUGCCAGGCCUCCCCUUGAAGCUUUCCAGGUGAAAUCAAACCCCAAACCUCAGCAUUUAUUUCCAUAUAGCACUCAUAAUCCACGGUCAGGGGGACUUGACGUGACACACGGCAACUUCUGAUGGUGAGACCAAGUACCACGAGCAUCAUAGUCCUGCCACUCGCUUCAGGCGCCAAUUAGUUGAGCUUUAGGGAAGUUUGGGCCCAAGGCUGUGCUCCUGCUGAAGUUUGGAGCCCAGGCUUGCUGCUGGUGAGGGGAGGAUUUGAUAUUUAUGCAGAAGGAGCUCAGUAAUGGGGCAGGCUUCCCUCCGCGCUCAGCAGCACAGGCUGGUACCGGCAGGGCCCUGCUCUUUGAUGCCAAGAAUCCUGACUGAAACCACAGUACCUGCCUCCCUGGCUGCUGAAACGCACCAUCCCCCAGAGGCACCUGCUGAAUUAUUUACAGAUAUCUGCUCAGUAGCACCCUGGAGUCCCCAGGGAGACCAAGGCCACGUCUCCCUGGGGACGCUACGGGGACACCUUACAGAGCCGAGGAACAGCAGCCUGCACACUAAUCCCAGGGCGUUGUAGAGGGCAGGAUGAAGAAAGAAAGCGCCAGGGAUGAAGGCUGGAGCCUGCCCCAUGCCUCAGCACCACGGGGCCACCGUACUCACUCCUGGCUGCUGCAGGGUUCAGCCAGGCUGAGCCUGCUCAGGAUCUGUCCCACUGUCCCCGUGCUCAGGGUAAUGCAGGCGAGGAGCACACACAACAGCUUCCCAAGCAAGCAAACAGGGAAUAAUAGAGAGGUUUCAGCUCUGGAAGCAGCCCUCCUAACAUUCACCGAGCACCUGGGACGUCAUUUUGUGACUAAUCAGCUGUUGUCUCAGGUCUCACGAGCACCAAAUGAAACAAGAAGUCCCCGCUCGGGAAGUAAUUUGGGAAACAGUCCCUGAUCCCAUCUGUCAUGAAUAAACAAGUGGCUCUGCUGGAGCUGCAGGGUUGUGAAUUGCCUUGGAAGAGUUAGAGGCUGUCUAUACAGAGAGCAGAAAGCCUGCCAGAGAGAAAAAUAAGUAUCUAUACAUAGAGGAUAGGAAGGUGGAUGGCUGUGGCCAUCGGGGGCAUCUCUAAGGCAGCAGGGGGACACAUUCAGCAUUUCUCAGCCUGCAACGUGAGGACUGUUUAGUGCCAGCCCAGCAUGCUUUCACAUGUCAGAGCUCUGGGAAUGAGCAAAAUUGGGAUGGGACAAUCAGAGGUGGUGAGCGAGCAUUUGACCUGCAGCUUAAUCCAUCUUGCUUUGGGGAAACAGGGCUUGCACUGGGGGCUGGUUGCUGCAGGAACCUGGUCAUCUGCUGGUGGUCUACCCAAAUGCUGCUCUAGGUGGGAUGCUCAAUGCUCCCUGUGCAAAUUGUCAGCUCUUUGCAUGCUGCCAGGAAGCAGAAAAUAAAACGCACACAAUAAAAUGCUGUGCCAGCUUGUGUCAUCAGCCCUCCUGCCCCUGCUCACGUGGGACAGGCUGGGGUCAAAGCAGAAGGAAAAGGAGAAGCCCACGGAGAGGCUCGUCCUGUCUGACCCCGCUCCCCCAGCCUGGGAGCCAGCCUGCGAGCUCAGAGCACACACAGCUCAGCUUCCCAAACCAGGAGCACCAUAUGCUUGCGUAGGAGCAGGCAAGCACCAAGAAACAAGCGCAGGAACAGAGGCUGCAGCUUGGUAUCAGGGCACCGUGCUGUGCCCAUGUGGGUGGCUCUGCGGACGGCCAGGCAGUGUCAGGCUCUGCGCUACCCCAUGGAAAGCAUCAGCAGCAUGCAGGGCCCCAGUCUGCACCUUCAGGAGCUAAUUAUGAGCCACAGAGGAGCUUGAGGGAUGAAGCCUCUCAUAGGGACCACAGCUGGAGCAUUACCAGAUUAGAGGGCAGAAGCAGAGCACAUGCCAAGCCCCAGCUUGCAGGGAUGCCGCAGCAGCUCACACAUGGGCACAAGCCUGAGGAUCAAGCCCUGGCAUUUGGACCAGGCGUGCUGCCUCUGGGCUCAUUAGGGCAAAUCCAGACCAUGAACUGAGAGGGUCUGGGGGCUGCUGUGCCCUGCAGGACCACAUCUGCUGCAUCACUGUCACCACUGGCAUCACAACACACGUGCUCCUGAGCCUCACCCUACCAAAGGACAACCAGAAGGGUCACAGCAGGACUUACCCCCACCACCAGCAUUUCCUGUUGCUUUCUCCAUCCUUCCUAGUGGGAUGCCACCAUCAGGAUACAUCAGGAUGCUGUUUUAAAAGCAGCUGUGACAAUCACAAGAAGAAGGAGAAAGCCUUCUGGUUCACCCCACCUGGAGACACCCCAGCUCCUUGGACAGGAGGGUGCAGCUGCACAACAAACCAGCUCACACCUCUGAGGGCAUUAAACCAAGGCCUGAGCCAACCUGGCCCUUUUCUAGACCAUCCACAGGUGAAACCUGUGAGCAUGAGCUGCUCGGGGAGAUUCCCAUCACCUGUGAGCUUCUGGACAGCAUCACCUGCAUGGCCUUUGUCACAGCCAUGGCCUCGGUGAACGGAUGCACAGGAUGUGGCACACAUAUAGCUGGUCAUAUAGCAGCUCUGUGCCUCCCACGUGGGUCAUCUUUUCUGCAUGGUGUCCCACAGCUCUGCCUCUCAGUGUGUCGGGGUCCCCAGGUGCCCCCAGGAGAGCUCAGGCUCUCCAGUGCUCCCACACGAGCAGUCCCGAGGAAUAAUUUAAUUUAAUCCCAUUUCUACCUUCUUCUUCCCCAAGCCUGGCAAAGCAAGAGCUGGGUGGAUCUGCGUGAUUUUUUGAGGUCAGAACUCUGUUCUUGGAGAGAAGUCUUUAGAAAACCAAAAACCAACCCAAACCCACAGAAAAACAGAGUGGGAGAAAGAGAAGGAGAAAAGGACAAGCCUGGGAAGCUGGCUCCGCACUUUGCCCUGGCUGCCUGGGACAAGGGGCUCUUUGUUCCUCCGGCUGGAACCGGGUGCAUUGGCCCUUUUCAGUCUCUUUCCCCAGGCAAGGGGCCAGGGGGAAGCAGGCACAAGGAGGGCAGGCAAAAACCCCGGGGCAGCGAUGAACAACCCGUGCUCUUCCCCCCCAGCACUGGGAGAAAAAAGUUCUGGGAGCCUUGAGGCCGAUGAUGCUCCUUAGAAAGAAGGACAGGAAAAUAGGGGCAAUUUCUUCAGAGACCCCAAGACCCCAAGCUCUUUAAGGCCAUUUCACCCUCCAGGAAAAGCAGGCUGCCCAUGGGGGCAGCGGGGUGCCCCGUGCAGUGCUUGCAAGGGAGGGAAUUCAGCCCCUACCCUGCCCAAGGGUCCCCGGGGGGGUCUGUGGGAACCAGCCCCCCCCCCCUCCCCCCCAGCUCCCUGUUACUGCCCCUAACAGCAACCACCGUGGGUCGGGGAUGGAGGGGCAGAUGGCACAGGGCUUUGUUAAAACAAGUACAUUCAAGGAAAAAGCCUUGCGCGUGUUUCCCCAGCAACUGCGACGUCACGCGGGACGUCUGGGCCUUUGUCCUCCUCCCCCCUUCUUCUUCUUGUUAAAAGGGAAAAGAAAGAGAAGCAGAAAGCGAAGGAGAGCUGGGGACAGUCUCCUGGCAACGUGGGGACAGAGGUGGCCUCCUGCAGGGGGGACGUGGCUGGGGCAUGGGGACUCCAGCCAGGGGGUGGCAGGAUGGGGACGGGCCCCUGGUGUCCCCCAGGAUGGAGGUGGCAGCCCCAGGGUGGACAUGGCAGCCCCAGGGAUGCUCAGCUGCUUCCCAGCCACAGGCAGCCUCUAAUCCUGUUCGUGCCUUGUGAGCGCCGCUCCCUCUAUUUGCAGCACACGGGGAGCUGAGCCCCUGUUUGUCCAUCUUAAAUCGAGGUAAUUGGGGGGAUGCCAUGGCCAUGCUCCUGCGUGCACUGUGCCUGGGUCCUGCUGUGAGUGCAGGGCUGGGGACAGGGUCCCCUCACGGGCUGUCACUGCCGCCUGCCGGGCACCGCCUCGCACACCCAGGCAUGCUGCAGCCAAACCCACGUGCGUGCUCAAGCCUUGCUAUUCCAACCUUUUAACCCAGGCUGCCUCACUUUGCAUUGACACCAGUGAAAUUUUCAAAGGAGAUUCCCAUGGGCGGCUCAGGGAUGGGUUCUGGGGGGCUUCCAGCGCCUUCCCAGCACCCCAGGGUCACCCCAACCCCGCAGCAAGGUCCCAUCGCCCCCCGAGCCACUGGCUGGGUGCAGCUCAGCUGUGAAACGUGCUGCAGAUGGUGCUGGAACCUGGAGCAAAUGGGGUCAGGAAGCAAUCGGACCAGCUCCUGCAGGGCAGCCCCCAAACCCGGCUGUCCUGAGCCUCCUGCUGGCACUGCUUUUAUUGCUCUGUGUGUGUCCAUUGAUCCGACAGCAGCAAUCGAUGCGUUCCUCCACACGCCGAGAGCAAUCUGAUGCUGCAGCCUCAGAGAAAGAGGGGAAAAAAAAAAGAUAAAAGUUUCCAAGGGAGCACAGCGGGGCUUCCCCCAGCUGCAAUCAGUGCUGGGCCACGUGCGGGGGGCUUUGGGAGGGUGCAGGUGGAACCCAGCAGCCAAAGCAUCGCUGGGGAUGCCCUGGUGGGACUCAGGGCUGCUGUGAUGUGGGGUGGCAUCGCUGGGUGGUCACAGCCCCACAGCAGGUCCCCCCCCCAGCCCCAUGUUCCCUAUUCUCUGCUGUGGGGCUGUGCCGUGCUCUGCCCAGCAGCUCUGGGCUUUUUCCAGUGGGGUAACCAGAUCGGAUUGCUGCGUGCUGCUUGUUUUUCCACCUGUGAAAUGGAGAUGGGGAGAAGUGCCAGUGUUACAGGAGCUGGUUGUCACCCACACCCUGCCCUGAGAGAUGCUUCACACCUCAUCCAGCCAUCCUUGCACCUUUCCCCUGCCUCCUGCCCACUGCUGCCAUGGGGUCACUUUGCUCAGAGCCUGCCAAAAACCUUUCCCCGCUGUGCCACCCCCUGACUGCAUUUCUCUC